CCCUCUCCAGAUCUUGUGCAUAAACUUCUUUACAGAAGAUGGAUGAUGUGUUGCAAGGUGGUUUGGGCAGUGGCGGUGGCUUUUGCAGAUGAGGUCACUCCCACAGCACUGGCAUCCUGACUCAUUACGGCCCUUCUCUGAGCCCUGAGUGUGGGCCUCCAGUUACUGGCAUGCUUCUACAUACGGAUUGUGAACAAAUCCAAAAGCAGUGUAUGCUGCUUUCCCCCUUCUGUUAGAAACAGAAAGAACCAGACCACCAAAAAAAUAUUUUCUAAGAAAACAACAGUUCUGACUCCGUACCACCUGCUUCAAUGCAAUCCAGGGCUCCGGAGUGAUGCAACCCACAAGCGUGGAAGGGGCUGGCGGAUGGGCUGGGCUGUCUCGGGUUGAUCUGAUGUCAGAGCAGAUCAUGUGGUGCUCUGUAGGCAGCUGGGACUGGCCCGCGGGAAGCACAUGGAUUACAGUCUGAGGCUGUGAUGGGAAAGUCGGUCCCUGGGCUGCUGUCUCAUACACAUCAGCAGGCAGGGAAGCUGGGGACUCGGAAUCGCCCUGCUCCGGGCCCCUCCUGCUGCGUGGUCACAGGCAAUCGCAGAGAGAAGCUGCUGCUCCAGUAAGUAACUGAUCAGGGACAUGAAGAGCUGCUAUUUCAAAUGACAACCAUGUUGCAAAAGAACCAAAACAAGUGUGAGAAUCAGACUACAUGCAAUGAAGCCACACAGUCAAGCUGCAGCCAACUCAAGGACCCCUACGACGUGCAUCCUGGUGACCAGGUCAGUUAAAGACCCUCUCGCAUUGGGGAGCUAUGCUUUGAAGUUGUCAGACAGCAGGAGCCAUGCGUUAACUUCCCUCCCUUGUUAUUGUAGAUUAUCAACGGAUGGACAUUUUUAACCACAUCAGCACUUUGAUUGGACUGCCCUACUGCAGGAAAUUUUCAGUUACAAUAGUUUCAGUGGGUAGAGAGACUAUGAGGAUGGUCAUUUAUAAGGGAGGCUAAAGUAUUAAGCUGUGGAAAGAGUAAGUCAGGCCAGUAACAACUUAACUGCAUGCGACAGGAAACAGCCAUGAAGGGCAGGCUUCUGUCUGGAAAUAUAGGCUGAUGAAGAACCAGGGAGGAGGAACUAUUCCCAAUCCGGGCUGUGCUGAAUGGCUUUCUGAAGGGAAGAGGUACAACUGCUAGUUCAGGGAAGACAUGGUCUGAUUUAGCUGAGUGCUGGUUAUUGGAAACCUUGGACAGGGUGGCUCUUUGCCAUGGUUGGGAUACAGCCAGAUUGGAGAAGAUGAGUUAGAGGUGAGAAAGUGAACAUCUCAGAGCUACGCUACUUUCCCAAGGCCCUGCACAGGAAGCAAAGGCAGCCAGGGUGAGAUGGGAGGAGCCAUCUGUUUUAGGGAGGGAAAGGAAUGGUGUGCUGAUAUGGGGAGCAUUUGUACCUGUUUGAAGUGGGGUGGUGAUGUGACAUCCUCGUGGUCACUGCUUCCUUGGAAAGUAAGUGAUUCUUGCCUUUUGACUGGACUCUCUGGCGAUGUAUGUGAACCCUUUUGUGGUUGGAAUAGCUGGAGCACAGCCCUUCUUGGGAGCGUCUCUGUGGGGUAAUUAGUAAAGCUAUGGAGUUUUAUCUCUGGGUGCUUGGAGUUCAGUGCUAUCAUUACCUCAGCAGUUACAGGAAAAUAUGAUGCCUGCAUCUGAAAGUCACUCCUGUCUGUAACUCUCUCCAGGGCCAUGGAACUUCCUUAAAGGUGGCCUAUCCUUGAAUAAUACCGUGGGUUCAGUCUGUGCCCUCAGCAGAGGCUGUGGCUUUCGCUGAUUUUGCAGAACUUGAUCUCUAUCAGCUUGCAUGCCCUUCUGCUUAACUCGCUGGUGCCUGUCCGCUUCUUGGGGCUACCAUUACCAGUGCAAAACAGCAGGCUCCUGCCUCUGGACCUCCAGAAUGAUAUCAGGUUUCCUAGAACUAAAGACGAGCCCCUCUUCCCUGGGUCUGACAGCUGUUUUCUUUCCUCUCUGUCGAAUGGCAUGAAACAUUUCUACUUUAAAAAAACUUAAAAAUUCCACUAAGUCUCUGGAAAAUGACAUUGAGUACCUGGUGAAACAUGUAUAGAGACUGAAUAGAAGUCUUUUUGUUGAAAUCUCCUUAAAAAGGACACAGAAAUAUCUCAUAGGGGAAUUAAAUAGAUUACAGGACCCACUUGGAAGUGGAUGAAAUAGUUGAUAUCUUUGUUUGCCAUGUAACAAUCGUAUCAUUUGUGGUAUCCAAAUUUGGUUGAAGUUAAACAUGAAACUAUGAAGCUGUAUGAUGUAUGUUCCCUGACUUGUGUCCGUUUGCUUAUGUCUGUCGUUCUUCUAUACUACCAAUGCAGUGACUGAUGGCCAUCCAUUAACACAUUUUUAUUUAGCUCUUUCUAUAGAUAUUCUUACUUCCUGUUAAUGGCUGGCAGUUUGCUUAGACCCAGCAGGGUACAAGGCAACCUAGCAAUUGCAAUAGAAUGAGAUAAGGGUCAUACUAGAGGAAUGCAAAAUACUCUGCUAGUAGGUAAAUGACUAUCUUAACAGGACAGAGGUUUCUUAAAGGACAUGUCUUGAAGGUUAAGACUUGAAGGAGGCCUGGAAAGCAGCUGAACGAUGAGGAGGAAGGACAGAAGGGAAGGCAAGGGGACAUCCCAGAAACCAGUCAGGGCCUAACAAGUUCAGCGAGCAGGCAGAACAUUUGUUAACCUGUAUUCAUCCAGCAGACAUAUGUAUCAAACACCUAUUUUGUAUAAGGUACUGAGUGUGGUGAUAGACAUUGGGAGCUAUAAAAUGGAGAGGGAUUUUAGCAUGAUACUUACUACUAAGGAACAAGAAGUUGACACAAUAAUAUAGGAAGGUGUAUACAUAUUAUUAUAUCAAUUAUAU
rnacentral:sRNA from 1 species